CCUAUCAAUGAAAAAGUGAGCCAGCUAGACAGAGUGAUGUGAAGUCACCAAAUACUAGUGGUGUCUUGGCAGGAAGGUCUGAAGUGCAACUGAAGGAUGUUUGACUCUUUUAGUUCUGGAACCCUGACAAAAGUGGUAACAUUCUCACUUCAGUUAUGCUACAUCUGUAUCACUGAAUGAGACAAAAAGGCACACUGAACAAUUGCUAUCACUGUUUCAGUUCUCAAAAAGGAAGAUUUGCCAGACAGUACAAUCUUCAUGGUCUUCCUCCCAUUUCUAUUUAAAUCACUGUACAUCCUUCUGGUGGAAGAAUUGCACAUCUACCAUUCAGUAAUCAAUACACUGAUGUAUAUCAAAUAGGAUUCAUAAAUCAUUGCAGAAAAAUAUUUUUUCCAUGCUGAGAAUGCCUAUCCUUAUGCAAUUAAAACUGGCAAGAAUAAGUAUGUUUAGAAAAUUUGCAAGAAAAGGCAAGAACAGCAUUGAAGCUACUGUAAUUACAGCUGCACGUGAGAAAAAGAGAAAAAAACCCUAUCUAACAACCAAGGAAACACAAACCUUUAUCUCUCAAGUUCGGUGAGCAGUGUCAGUUGUGGAAUGUGGAUUCUAUUGAGUUCCAUGAACAAUGAAUUUUUCCUGGUCAAAGUAUUGUCAUUUCUGUCAUCAAAAAGUAACUUGUGUGCUAUCUGUCGCAGACUUUCUUCCAAAGAAUGACAGGUAAUUUCUCUAGCAUCAUUUCAGUGACAGUUUCUGCUUUUAUCACACAACUCCUGUAGUGAUGAUUCACCUCUUUCAUAAAUUUGGCAUUCACCAAAUAGUAUUGCACAGUAUAAA